GCGAGCCGAGCCCGAGUUGGCUGCGAGCCGAGCUCGACUCGACUAAAAUCCAGCCCUAAGGAGGACACAUCGGUUAGCCGUUCUGUUGCAUUACCUGUCCAAGCUGAGGUCUUCCUCAUGAGGGUCAUCCGGUCGCUUUAUUUACAGGUUCUUUAGAUCCUCCACAUGAGGGAACCGGUAUUGAUAUAUUAUCGAUCGAAGGUUCUCCCCGAACACCUUCUCCGGAAGUCCAGGUUAUAGGGAUUUAAGAAAUAUCAUUGAUCAAUUUGUUUUUAAUAUUAUAUUUUUUUUAAUGAAGUUUUAUCUCUUUUUCAGGA